ACCAAUAUAAAGGCAUAGAGCUGAUGAAGAAAGAUAUGAGCAUAUGUUUAUCUUUGAUAUUGCACUAAACAAAAAGGAUAUGGCUCGUUCCUCUAGACCUGUUUAAGAAGUGAAAAUCUUCUUGUUUAAUGUGCUUUGUGAGUUUUGCAUCAACAACUGCAUCCAGUUUUGAUUAUAAAACUCUUGAAGGAAAUGAUGUUCUAUUAUAUUCAGACUUGGUAGCCUGCUAUUAUGUUGAUAGUGAAAAGAAUGAUUUCCAUCCCGGUUCCUAUCCAAGGUACAUUCCUUUUGUAUUAUUCUGGAAUAUUAUACAUAUAACUGAAGAUGUCUGGCAUGUAUAGGUGAGAUAAGAUUUUAUGGCUAAUGCGUUUUUUCCUUUAAUAGCUUAUCUUCUCUUGUUCUCCAUCCAUCUUCUGAUUCAUCCUUUAUUCAUCUUCCUCUGUAUCAUUUACAUAUUUUCUGGAAGGGGAAGUAAUGAUAUUUGAAUCUCGGAACAUGUACAGUGAUACUAGUAGUUGUUAAGAAACAAUAAUUGAGUCCCGGCUUGAUCAGAUGAGUACUCAAAACAGUAUCUUUUAUAUGUUCAUAUGCUUUGGACUCUAUUAAUGACGGAGGAUCAGUACUUAUUCCCAUUGGACGGUCUGGAGUCAUGUUG
rnacentral:lncRNA from 1 species